rnacentral:tmRNA from 1 species
CAUGUAGAGCCGAAGGCGUAGGUCUAGCGGACGGGGGUUCGAUCCCCCCCGCCUCCACCA